UCGCGAAUCUUCCGCAAUGGGCGAAAGCCUGACGGAGCGACGCCGCGUGUGGGAUGAAGGCCUUCGGGUUGUAAACCACUGUCACGGGUUAAGAACACCGGCAAGAUAACAUCAAACCGGAUGACAAAGGCCCGAGAGGAAGUCACGGCUAACUCUGUGCCAGCAGCCGCGGUAAGACAGAGGUGGCAAGCGUUGCUCGGAAUCACUGGGCAUAAAGGGCGCGUAGGCGGUCACGUGCGUCGGGGGUGAAAUCUCCGGGCUCAACCCGGAAACUGCCUUCGAUACGGCGUGACUUGAGUGCGGGAGGGGAGAGUGGAACUCCUGGUGUAGCGGUGAAAUGCGUAGAUAUCAGGAGGAACGCCGGCGGCGAAAGCGACUCUCUGGUCCGCAACUGACGCUGAGGCGCGAAAGCUAGGGGAGCGAACGGGAUUAGAUACCCCCGUAGUCC
rnacentral:rRNA from 1 species